rnacentral:misc_RNA from 1 species
GCAAACUUGGUCAUUUAGAGGAAGUAAAAGUCGUAACAAGGUUUCCGUAGGUGAACCUGCGGAAGGAUCAUUAAAAAUAGCACUAGCUAUAUCUACCUUGUGUGCAAAAAAUGGAAAGAGAAAACGGAAUUCAGAACACUUUUUUCUUUGGGAAAGUGUUACCAAAUUCUAUAUAAUUUUUAUAAAUACCAUCAAAAAUUAUUAAAAAUGAAUUAUUUUUUAAAUAAAAAUAUUAUACAACUUUCAACAACGGAUCUCUUGGCUCUCGCAUCGAUGAAGAACGCAGC